rnacentral:rRNA from 1 species
AGAGUUUGAUCAUGGCUCAGGAUGAACGCUAGCUACAGGCUUAACACAUGCAAGUCGAGGGGAAACGACAUCGAAAGCUUGCUUUUGAUGGGCGUCGACCGGCGCACGGGUGAGUAACGCGUAUCCAACCUGCCCACCACUUGGGGAUAACCUUGCGAAAGUAAGACUAAUACCCAAUGACGUCUCUAGAAGACAUCUGAAGAGAUUAAAGAUUUAUCGGUGAUGGAUGGGGAUGCGUCUGAUUAGCUUGUUGGCGGGGUAAGGCCACAGGCGACGAUCAGUAGGGGUUCUGAGAGGAGGUCCCCACAUUGGAACUGAGACACGGUCCAACGUCCUACGGGAGGCA